UUUAAUUUAUGGACUUGUUCCCACAUUUUUUUGGAUGUGGUUGAGCUGUUAAUAGAUGAUAUGUAGUUCUUCCAGGAAGUUUUCUCAGCGUCUCGACGGAUGCGGCGUGCGUUUGCUUUCGCUUUUUUAAAAUUUACAAGAUUAUCAUAGGUUGGGUAUCUACGGAAUAUGCCCCACGCUUUGUUUUGUUUCUUUUUUGCUUGCUUACAUUCUUGCGUGUACCAGAUUUUAUGAUUACGUCGAACCACUCCUGAGGACUGAGGAAUAGCUAGCCGCGCGGCAUUAAUAAUACAGGUUGUGAAUAAUUCGUUUUGAUCGUCGACAUUUAAAUUCUUUGAAAAAACUUUUUCCAGGCUGGCCAGUUCUUGAAACAGUGCCCAGUUUGCUAAGUGUAGCUUCCAACGACGUGGUUUGCUUGGGAUGAUUUGUGGUGGGGAUGAUAAGUUAAUUUUUACAGGAAGGUGAUCACUUCCAUAGGGGUUGUCAACGACAUCCCAUUUAAAAUCUGUAAAAAGUGAUGGAGAGCACAGUGACAGAUCUAGGCAACUCAUAGCUCCUGUGCUUGGGCAACAGUAAGUUGCCGCACCAGAGUUUAAUAGGCAUAUGUCGUUGGUUAGAAUAAAAUCUUCAAGUGUUUGGCCCCUGGUGUCAGUAGUUUUACUACCCCAUAACGUGCUAUGUGAAUUAAAAUCACCACCUAUUAAAAAUGGUUCAGGUAGCUGCUCUAAAAUUAUCUCUAGGUCUCUUACGGUAAAAUGUGAAUGUGGCGGAAUGUACAUUGAACAAAUGGUGAUGGUUUUGUGAGCUAAAACGGUGACAGCAACGGCUUCUAUGUGAGUGUUAAUGGGAAUUUCUCUGGCUGGUAUACCAACUGGCAGAACAAUGGCUACACCACCUGACAGCCGGUUCGUCUGAUUACGGUCGCGCCGUACAACAGUGAAACCUUUCAAAAAGUUCUUGUGUUUUUCGCCUAGGUUGGUUUCCUGUAAGCACAGGGCCACAGGAGAGAAGUUUAUUAAAAGGUCUUUUAUGUCACCUAAGUUAUGAAUGAGACCUCUACAAUUCCAAUGGAUCAUGAAAGCCAUUAUGAAAUUGAAAGGCAAAAAUUGAUAUUAACGAGUGAAUGGGAGAUAAGAAAGAUGUUAGGUGACAUGGAUCUGAAGAAGGCAGAUACAAACAGAGCGAUAACCCUUAGGUUAUCGCCUUCUUAUUUUGAGUUGUUAUUGGGAUUUUAUCCCUCUUACCGCGCUCGAGGGAGCGCUUGUCCUUCGGUGUCGAGGACACCGGGGUUUUUGUUUCGACCUCCAUUGCUCUCUCUGAGGCGCUGGAGGACCGAGAGUUUGGCGCCGAGACACGUGUCUCGGGCCUUGGAGUUCGCUUGAUCUUAGGACCCUGCGGGACUGGUGUCUGCAGGGCCGUUGAAGAGGGCGGAGCAGUACUGACUGCUUCCACCACGGGGGCGGGAGGAGUCACUGCGGCACCACUGCGCGUGGGCUCGGAGGACUCCGGAAGCCUCUGUGACGCUGCCCCCGCCUGCGUCACAUCGGCAUAACUGCGUCGCGGAAGCAUGGGCAAGACCGCGAGUAGGCUGGAUGGUCUCCUUUGCAGUUAGUACAAUGUGGGGAAGAAGUGCAGUUUUCAGAUUGAUGAUCAGUUGAGCUGCAUUUAGCACAGGUUGUUUGGCCUCGGCAUGCAUGUGAAGCAUGUCCGAACCUUUGACACUUGAAACACCGUCUUGGGUUCGGGAUAUAUGGUCUGACGUUUACUUUCACGUACCCUGCAUCCAGAGAGGUAGGCAUUACGCUUGUACCAAAUGUAAGUAUGACAUGUUUGGUGGGGAUUUCUUGGUCGUUUCUACGGAUUACUAUUCUUUGCACCUUUGUCACAUUUUGUUCCUGGAAACCUUCCAGCAGUUCCUCGUCACUUAAGCCAAUAAAGUCUUCUUCAGAUAUUA